GGACACCAGUGGGGACACUGGUGGGACUGGGGACACCAGAGGGGCUGGGGGGCUCCAGUGGGGCUGGGAUGGGGACACCGGUGGGAUGGGGACACUGGUGGGGUUGGAGACACUGGUGGAGUGGGGACACUGGUGGGGUUGGGAACACCAGUGGGGACACUGGUGGGACUGGAGACACUGGUGGGAUUGGGGACACUGAUGGGGACAUUGGUGGGCUUGGGGACACCAGUGGGGACACUGGUGGGACUGGAGACACUGGUGGGAUUGGGGACACUGAUGGGGACAUUGGUGGGCUUGGGGACACCAGUGGGGACACUGGUGGGACUGGAGACACUGGUGGAAUGGGGACAUUGAUGGGGACACUGGGGGGACUGGAGACAAUGGUGGGGUUGGGGACACUGAUGGGGACAUUGGUGGGGUUGGGGACACCAGUGGGGACACUGGUGGGACUGGAGACACUGGUGAGGUUGGGGACACCAGUGGGGACACUGGUGGGACUGGGGACACUGGUGGAAUGGGGACAUUGAUGGGGACACUGGUGGGACUGGAGACAAUGGUGGGGUUGGGGACACUGAUGGGGACAUUGGUGGGGUUGGGGACACCAGUGGGGACACUGGUAGGACUGGAGACACCGGUGAGGUUGGGGACACCAGUGGGGACACUGGUAGGACUGGAGACAUUGGUGGGGUUGGGGACACCAGUGGGGACACUGGUGGGACUGGAGACACUGGUGAGGUUGGAGAUACCGGUGAAGACACUGGUGGGACUGGAGACACUGGUGGAAUGGGGACACCAGUGGGGAGACUUGUGGGGUUGGGGGCACCAGGGGGAUGGGGACACUGGUGGGACUGGGGACACUGGUGGAAUGGGGACACUGAUGGGGACACUGGUGGGACUGGGGGCACUGGUGGGGUUGGGGACACUGAUGGGGACACUGGUGGGGAUGGGGACACUGGUGGGACUGGUGACACCGCUGGUCCUACGUGUCCCCACGGCUCUCUGCGUCCCUUGGGGUGGGUGGGAGGUGACUGGGGAAGGGAUGGAGAAGAGGGGGGGGUCAGAUGCCACCACGCUGUGUCCCCCCCCCCCCAGGCGGUGUGUGGCUACGGCUCCCAGGACUCCUUGCCCUUCCGGGCCAUCAAGGAGGGCGAGGUCUACUUCCAGGAGGACCGAGAGGUCAAUCUGGUGGAGUUGGCCUUGGCCACCAACAUCCCCAAGGGCUGUGCCGAGACGGCCGUGCGAGGUGAGGACGGAGGAUUGGGGGGGGGGGGGUGGGGUGUCAAUAAACCAUCCCCCCCCUCCCCAAAAAUGGCCAACCAACCAACCGUGGUGGCCACCAUCGUGGUCUGUGACCUUCUCUUCCCAGUUCACGUCUCCUACUUGGAUGGAAAGGGCAACCUGGAGCCUCAAGGGGCUGUCCCCAGCGCCGUGUCCACCUUGACCGAUGACCUCCUCAAGUACUACCAACACGUCACCCGGGCCGUGCUGGGCGACGACCCCCAUUUAAUGAAGGUGCCGUGGGGCAGGGAGACCCCCCCCCCUUUUGA
ensembl:lncRNA